UGGCAUAGUAGUUAAAGCGUUUGGCUGCUAAGCAAAAAGUCGGUAGUUCAAAUCCACC
rnacentral:tRNA from 1 species